rnacentral:lncRNA from 1 species
GCAAUUCUCUUUAACGAUUCAAAUUCUCAAACUUUCUUAGCAUCCAAACAAAGCCCAUCAAUUUUUCCAAUGUCGAUCAUUCCCAGCUUCCGACGAGGCAGCAUUUUCGACCCUUCCUCUCUCGAUGUCUGGGACCCAUUCAAGGAUUUCCCAUUCCCUUCCUCUUCAUCACUCUCCACAUUCCCUGAAUUUUCUCGGGAAAAUUCAGCUUUCCUGAACACGAGGAUCGACUGGAAGGAGACCCCGGAAGCCCACUUGUUCAAGGCAGACCUUCCGGGGAUGAAGAAAGAAGAGGUGAAGGUGGAGGUUGAAGACAACAGGGUGCUUCAGAUCAGCGGAGAGAGGAACGUAGAGAAGGAGGACAAGAACGACAAGUGGCACAGAGUGGAGCGCAGCAGCGGCAAGUUCUUGAGGAGGUUUCAGCUUCCUGAAAACGCAAAGUUGGACGAGACUAAGGCUGCAAUGGAGAAUGGGGUUCUGAGUGUCACUGUGCCAAAGGCUGAGGUGAAGAAGGCUGAUGUCAAAGCCAUUGAAAUCUCUGGUUAAUAUCGUCCCUGUAUUCUCUACUGCAUGCACUUCACAUUAUGUAUUUCUAUGUUUGAAUUUGGAAUGUUGAUAUCAAUGAAAUGAGUGUGAGUGGUUGUAACAUAAUGGCUUGUAACUUGUUGGUUUUUAAUUUAAUAAAUAGAUCGUAAUUUUGGUAAUUUGUGUUUGGUUUUUUAGGCAAAGAAAACAACUGAGCACUAAGAAACGGGGCCUGGGAGCACCACAGGCAUCAGCAGCGAGAAUAUCCACAAGGGAGGCUGACGCCAUGUCAAAAAUCUGCAGACCAGGAUCAAAGCAUCCGCAGUACAGUUCUGUUCAGGAAAGAUGUGCCUAACUGAGCAAUCACAGUCACCUAGUUUGUAAUCGCAAUGAUUAAUGAAUUAUAUCCAAGUUUUAUUGUGGUCAUAUAAUUCAUUUUAAAAAAAUUUGAAAAAUCAGAGUAUAGCCGACCGGCUAUACUAUUUCUAUUUUGAAAAAUUAGGAAAACCCAAGUAUGGCUGUUCGGCUGUACAAACAAAAUUUGAAAAAUCCGAGUAUCGCCGGACGGCUAUAUUACAAAAGGUAUGUAUUAAAAAAGAGACGGGUACAACUGUGUGGUUAUAUUAUUUCUUUUAACGAUUUACUAAUAAAAAAUAUAAAAAUAGAGCCCAGUAAAGCCGAGCAACUUAACUAAUAGUAAAAGAAAUUCUAAAACAGCGUAUAAUUGUUCGGCUAUAUUAUUUUUUUUGGAGAAAAUUUAUUAAAAAAUUUGAAAAUCCUAAUAUAGUCGGAUGGUUGUACUAUUUUUUCUAUUGGGGAAAUUUAUUAAAAAUUUGCAAAAUCCGACUAUAUCCGCACGGCUAGAUGGGGUUGUUUUUGACAAUUCAAAAUUUGAAAAUUUGAAAAAGCUCUUCACAGUUCAAAAUUGUGAUUGUUUUGAUUGAUUAUUUCAUUGUUGUUUCUUUUUCUUUAGUAAUCGAAAACGAUAUCAUAUUGUUUUGGGUGGAAUCAAGAUCUGAAUGUGGUUGUCGACGAAGUCAAGGUGGUCGUCGUGGUGCUUUGCAGCGGCUGGUCUGGAAAAAAACAAAACAAAGUGGUUUCCAUCACAGCCCGUCCUUCCUUAGCCUUGUAAAUGAACAACUGAUUGAAUGUUAGGAUUUUUCGAACCCGACUGCAGAUUGCACAAACACCUCAGAAGAUUGAGAAUAAGCGAUAAAUUUGAGGAGCUUCAACGAAUUAUCAGAUAUUUCAAUUAGGGAUUAGCUUCAAAGAAGAAUCUACUCGGGUUAAACGCAAAUGGGGUUAAACCGUCAAACAACGUUGCCUAACAUUACAACUUCAUUUAAGUUUAAUUCUGACAUGUUAAAGUUUUAUUGCGUGUCAAAAAACUACUGGGCCGUAGCACCACAUCAUCUGUGCUACGAUACUAUUGCAUAAUUUCUCCUGCAGUUCGGAUAUAAAGUCAAGGACUAUUGCCGUUAAAAAGCAUUUAUUUUGGUCAUCUAAUUUGUUUUUAAAUUUCCAUCCUCCAACUCAGACAUAAAUUCAAGGAUUGUUGAUAUUAAAACACAUAAGUUUUUCUCAAAUAUGUGCAAUUGACAUGAAUAAAUCUCAUGAUUUAUCCAACUUGUCAUACCACUUUUGUGAGGAACAUCUCACAGUAUGUUUGCACUCAUGUCCUUAAUAUGACGGCAAAAAAUAAUAAUAAAAACUUUGCUUCCCAACAUUAAUAUUGAUUAUUGCUUUCUUACAGCUUCAAUAGUUGUGUGAGGAAGAUGAAUAUCAUCUUAACUCCUCUAUCUAUCAUUUGAGAUUAUAUUCAAAAGACAAAUUUUACAUAAGAUAUUAGAGGAAACUAACAAUUUCAGGUAAAGUCUCUUUGAUUUCUUUAAAGAUUGAGAUAAUUCUAGUAAAUUUUAUUUUUAGUAAAUUAUUAUAUGAACUUCAAUUUUAAUUUCAGGUCAAUGAUGCAUCUCAAUCUGAUUUCUGGCAUGAAACUGUACGUUGCCAUAUCAGCAAGAAAGGAAACAUAAAUGUAGACUUAUGAGAUACAAUGAGAAAAUGGCCCAAACCACAAUGAAAAAAUGGAUACCAACAAGAAAAGAAACACUUACAACCUCUAAGAAAAGGGAAACUGAAAUAGGAGAGCCAUAAACGUAAGACAUGCUACUUUUCAAAGUCGUUGACUCCCUACUAGCCAUAAGCAAACUCUUAGGUCACUUUGGGUGAAUCGACUAAACCAGUCAAAUCAAACCGAAAUUACUAGUUUUGUUUGAUUUGGUUUUUAUCAAGAAAAAGUCAAAAACUUUAAAAACUUAUUUGAACUAUAAAUGAUUUAGUUCGGUUUGAUUUUGAGCUUUUGCAAAUUGACUUAAACUGUAUCAGAUUGUCUGCUUAUGUAUAUGUUCAUUUUUAUUAUAUAUAAAAAUGAUAUUUGAAUUGAACUUUGAUUGGAUAAUCACUAGAUAUGAAUAUUGAAUUUGAAGUUUCAUGAAACUUUGAAGUUAUUGAUAUUUGAAUUGUAGCUAUAUUAGUUAUUGAACUUUGAAGUUUUAUGGUAUGAUGAAUUUUAGUAUGGUUUGAUACACUAGAAAAUGAAGAGAAGAAAAGGGUAUCAAGUUGUGAAUAUUUUGAUUGUAAUUGGGCUACAUGUUGAAAAAAUGAAAAAGGAAAAAUAACUAGACGGGCACAAAUGAGGAAGCGAGUACUCUAUAUGGGAAUGUAGGUAUAAUAGGGAGGUGUGAAAUGCCUCAAUGCUUUAUGGUUAAAUUUGGUUAUUUUAGUGGGGAAUUUAAAUGGCAUAUGAAAUGGUUUAUACAAGAUAUAAGUAGAUUUUGUUUUUGUUUCAUAUAAGUGAUAUUGGAGAGGGGGAUUCAAAACACGAUUUUGGGUGCAAGAAUAACUACUUUUAAUCACUUGAGUUAUAAGUUAUUUGUACACACAAAAAAAAAGAAAAAAAAAAAAGAAGAGCAAGGACCGUUUCAAUUCGGUUCUCUCAAUCUUAAAGGAAGUGAAAGUGCAACUAAAUUGGGUUAUAUGGGUGAGAAUUUGAACUGGAAAAUCGAUAAGUUGAACCAAACUAGAUCGAAAAAAACUAAAAAAAUUGGUUUUGGCUUGAACCGGUUCGGUUCUUGAUUUUGCCACUUAAAAACAAAAUUGGACCGAGUAUAUAAUGUCUACCAAUAUAUUGAUAUAUAUAACUCAUUCUUAUUAUGAAUUUAAUACCAAAAUUAUAGCCUCCCUCAUCUUCAUCACGGUCUCAACUUCCUUCAUCUCCCUCCCUCAUAUCCUCAAUCCAUGCUUCCAACACCAUCAUCCAUUUCUUUUUUUCUCUAUGAAUUUUUUGAUUAAUUAAUUUAGGGAAGUUGAGUAUCACUUUUGGGCAUCAAGUAAUGAUGGGACAAGCCUAACGAAACCCAAACCGAAUAAAACGGGUUGUACUUAAUGGAAACCAAAUCAAACAGAUUAUUUUAUUUAGUUUGACGAUUAAUUUUGGAAGUAAAUAGGACAUGACUGGACCGCACCCGGGUUUAACUGGUUCACCGGUUCUUUUUCCAACUCUUACGUCAUCCAGGUGGUGCAUCACUCAUCAACUGUUACGAGCCCACAAAGAAUCCACCUGAGAAUCCUAGAAAGUUUGAGAGAAAUCCAUACAAACACGCAAGGCCCAGUCUAUUCUAGAAAACUCUUCGGCCCCGUAUAAAUACGCAUUCAAUCAUCUGCUUUCCCAACCAGUCAAGCAAAGCAACAAUUCUCAAACUUUCUCAGCAUCCAAACAAAACCUAUCAAUUUUUCCAAUGUCGAUCAUCCCCAGCUUCCGACGAGGCAGCAUUUUUGACCCUUUCUCUCUCGAUCUCUGGGACUCCUUAAAGGAUUUUCCAUUCCCUUCCCCCUCAUCACUUUCCACAUUCCCUGAAUUUUCUCUGGAAAAAUCAACUUUCCUGAACCCCAGAAUCGACUGGAAGGAGACCCCAGAAGCCCACGUGUUCAAGGCAGACCUCCCGGGGCUGAAGAAAGAAGAGGUGAAGGUGGAGGUUGCAGACGACAGGGUUCUUCAGAUCAGCGGAGAGAGGAACGUAGAGAUGGAGGACAAGAACGACAAGUGGCACAGAGUGGAGCGCAGCAGCGGCAAGUUCUUGAGGAGGUUUCAGCUUCCUGAGAAUGCAAAGGUGGACGAGAUUAAGGCUGCAAUGGAGAAUGGGGUUCUGAGUGUCACUGUUCCAAAGGCAGAGGUGAAGAAGCCUGAUGUCAAAGCCAUUGAAAUAUCUGGUUAAUAUCGUCUCUGUAUUCUCUACUGCAUAUGCCCUUCACAUUAUGUACUUCUACGUUUGAUUUUAGAGAGUCAGUUGUCAUGAAUGUUGAUAUCAAUGAAAUUUGAAAAGACCGAGUAUAGCCGGUAUUUCUUUUUGAAAAAAUUUGAAAAAUCCGAAGAAGCCUGAUGCCAAAGCCUCUGAAAUCUCUGGUUAAUAUCGUCUUUGUAUUCUCUACUGAAUUUCACAUUAUGUAUUUCUUUGUUUGAUUUUGGAGUGUCAAUUGUCAUCAAUGUAAUGAGUGAUUUCUUGUAACAUAAUUGCCAUCAUGAUUGUAAUUUUUCUAAUUUGUGUUUUGCGUUUUUGAGGCUUUGCCUGGUUCCUGUUCUGAAUUGUAUGUGUUGCUUUUCAGGUUUCAUGUCUUAGUAAAAUGCUUUCUUGUGUUUGAAACUUUUUGAGUGGCAUUAAACUUCAAAUUAUAUUGCAUUGUGAUCCUAAGAUUUCUUGUGUUCGACCUUAUCUAAAAUUACAUUUACUUUUUCGCUUUGAUAUCUUAUCAUGGGCUUUGUUUGCUUUUGCUUAACCCAAUUCGUAAGCCUAAUCCUCUUGAAUCAAUAAAUAAUGAAGCAGCAGAUUUGGGAAUCCUAAUCCUAAUCCACCUAGCUUUUAACUGCAAUGAUCCAUGAGUCUCAUAAUCAUCAGAAUUUUCAUACCACUUUUGUGAGGAACAUCUCACAGUAUUUUCGCACUCCUUAACAUGACGGUAAAUAAUAUAAUGAAAUUUGUUUGCUUUCUAAAGUUUAAUUGGAAGCCUAAAGAUGAAUCGCUUCAUCCAUUUUUUGCUUUCUUGACAGCUUCAAUAGUUGUGUGAGGAAAAUCAAUAUCAUCUUAACUCUUCUAUGUAUCAUUUUAGAUUAUAUUCAUGAGACAAAAAUAAUGUCGCAUAAGAUAUUAGAGGAAAUUAAUAAUUUUAGGUAAAAUAUCUUUGAUUUAUUUGAACAUUGAGAUCAUUCAGGUAAAGUGUUUUCAUAGUUGCAUACGGAUCAAUCAUUGUAUUUAAUUUGUUUAUAUAUAAAUGUGUGAUGUUCCACACCAACAGUGAAGGUGUAGACAAGGACGGAACAACGAAGGUUUAUAUAUAAAUGAGUGAUGUCUCUAUUAUAAUAAACCAAUAUAAAAAAAAGAUGAGAUAUGUAAUCAUAUAUUGUUGAAUUCGUUUCACUCCUAAGAAGUAAAUUUAUUUUUUGGCAAUGCAAUAUUUGUUUUAUUAUAUAUAUUUUUGACAAUAUGUGUUUGAUUUGGUGUCUAUUUAAAAAAAAUAAUAGGGCUUAUAAAUCACUCAUUGAAAAACAAAUAUUAACCCACUCUUAUAAAAAUUCCUGAGUUUGUCCUUGGGUGUAGAAUUUGGAUUUUGAGACGUGGGAGGAUAAAUUGGAGAGAAGGAGAUAAAGGUUAUAAGUAAAAGAGUUUUGGAGUGGUGAAAAUAUGGCAAAUAUUUAUAAGAAUCAGUGAAAAAAAAAUAUUUACCCAACCAGCUCAUGAUUUGAGACCCACCCUACCUAAACUCUUUCAAUACGUCUUAGGCUAACUCUUUAAUUUUGAGGCAAAGCUUAGGCUAACUCUUUAAUUUUGGGGUAAACUCAAGCUUUUUUUGUCUGUCCAAACUCAGGUUUAAAUAUUAAUGAAUUUAUUCAUGUAGCAACAGGUUAAUUAUGUUCUUAAUUUACUUUUUAAUAUGAAUUUGAUCCUAAUUUCAUAAACAAACUGGCCAUUUAACGAAUUUUAAAGUCAAAUCUGAUCAAAACAUUGGAUUAAGCGAAAAAAAGAGGUAGCAAAGCCUAAAAGGCCAAGAAAUACAAUGCUACAAUGGUAACCAAACCAACACAGAGCCCCUAUGGACCACAGACUAACUAAACCAACAAAAGAACAGAACAGCUAGAGCAACCAUGAAAAGCAGAGAGAAACGAAACAAUAAUCACAGAACUUCCCAAGUACAGUCCUGCAAGAUUGAUCAUGCUUUGUUGGAUAUAGACUCCCGCGAGUAUAAUUCAGCAAUUGAGGCUUCAUUAACAGAAAAUGACAAUGAUUUGCUAGUUGGUUGAUCAGAUGAGUCAGUCCUUGUAAAUGAUGGCAUGUUCAGCUCAGUUCAACUAUGCAGAACAAAUGCUGGCUUUUUGAGGUAAUGCCAUGGUAACAGAGUAACUGCUUAGCAUGAGAACUAUGGUUUGCAUUGCGGGUCUUUCAUCUGGAUUUCCCUAAACACAGCCUCGCAAAUUUUAAUUUUUUUUUCCCAAUUCAUGCUAAUUCUUCACGUGACACUAGUUCACACCAUGAAUGAAUAUAUAUAUAUAUAUAAGAUUUGAAAAACUUGCAAAUCCUCAAAUAACUUUGUCAGACCACCUAAUUAUUCCAUUUCUUGAUUCAUAUUCAGUUUUUAUAUUUAUAUUAUGUUAUGUUCCUUCAAUUUGAAUCUCAUGGGUUUUUAUUUUUUAGUUUUUAAUUUUCUUUGAAGGGUAAAAAGUGAAUUUCAAAUUUUACAAAAAUGGCGCUGGGUAGGUUGAGUGAAUUUUGAAGUCCAGUGGUCCAUCACUCGUCUAACUGUGUUAUGAGCCCACAAAGAAGCCCCGCCCACAGAUUCUAGACAAUCCUAGAAUUUCCAGAGAAAAUCACAGAAGCGUUUGCAAGGCCCAGUCUUUACUAGAUUAUUCUUGGCUUCCUUUUAAAUAUCCAACCAAUCCUCUACUUUCCCAAACCAAUCAAGCAAAGCAGAAAUUCUCUAACCACUACAAAUCGACGCUCAAACUUUCUCAGCAUCCAAACAAAACCCAUCAAUUUUUCCAAUGUCGAUCAUCCCCAACUUCCGACGAGGCAGCAUUUUCGACCCUUUCUCUCUCGAUCUCUGGGAAUCCUUAAAGGAUUUUCCAUUCCCUUCCUCCUCAUCACUCUCCACAUUCCCUGAAUUUUCCCGGGAAAAUUCAGCUAUCCUGAACACCAGAAUCGACUGGAAGGAGACCCCAGAAGCCCACGUAUUCAAGGCAGACCUUCCGGGGCUGAAGAAAGAAGAGGUGAAGGUGGAGGUUGAAGACGACAGGGUGCUUCAGAUCAGCGGAGAGAGGAACGUAGAGAAGGAGGACAAGAACGACAAGUGGCACAGAGUGGAGCGCAGCAGCGGCAAGUUCUUGAGGAGGUUUCAGCUUCCUGAAAAUGCAAAGUUGAACGAGAUUAAGGCUGCAAUGGAGAAUGGGGUUCUGAGUGUCACUGUUCCAAAGGCAGAGGUGAAGAAGCCUGAUGUCAAAGCCAUUGAAAUCUCUGGUUAAUUAAAAUUGAGGAAUCUAAAGAUCAUCUGGGUUCUCUAGUGCAUCCACAGAGUAUGUAGUAGAAAUAAAGAGUGCCUAUGUAAAAGUGAUGGAUAUAUUUCUACAUGUGAAGUUGUGUCAUUGUGUGGCUGUCUGUGAGUGUCAAGUGUCAUCCAUCUUCUCUAUUUAAAGUUACAUUUACGUUUGUUUCUGAAUUAAUAGUCUUUUGAUAUCUUAUCAUGCCUUCGUUUGCUUUUGACUCAAUAAAUAAAUAAUGAUGCAUCAGAUUUCAGGAAAUUUAAUAUUCCCCAGUCUAGGUCGAAAAAUUCACCCAGUUUUUAACCGCAAUGGUUCAUGAAUUUAUAUUAAUUUUAAGGGAAAAAAAAAAAAAAAAAAACAUGUAUAGCCCAAGGCCAUAUUAUUUAUAAAAUUUUUAAAAAAAAUGGCUUAUAGCCGUCCGGCUAUACUAUUUAUUUAAAAAAUAAAAAAAAAAUUAGCCUAGUACAGCCGAGCGGCUAUACUAUUAUCUUAAAAAAAUUGGUCACAAGAUUAUAGCCGCGCGGCUCUACUAUUUCUUUAAAAAAAUUCAGCCCCCAGUAUAGCCGCACGGCUAUACUAUUUCUUUCGAAAAAAGUUGCCCAUUCCCAUCCUCCUCACCACUCUCCACAUUCCCUGAAUUUUCCCGGGAAAAUUCAGCUUUCCUGAACACGAGGAUCGACUGAAGGAGACCGCAGCAGCCCAUGUGUUCAAGGCAGACCUUCUGGGGCUGAAGAAAGAAGAGGUGAAGGUGGAGCUCGAGGACGGCACUUCAGAUCAAUGGAGAGAGGAAUGUAGAGAAGGUGGACAAGAACGACAAAUGGCACAGAGUGGAGCGCAGCAGCAGCAAGUUCUUGAGGAGAUUUCAGCUUCCAGAGAAUGCGAAGGUAGAGGAGAUUAGGGUUGCAAUGGAGAAUGGGGUUCUGAGUGUGACUGUUCCCAUUGGAGAAUGGGGUUCUGAGUAUGACUGUUCCCAAGGCAGGGGCGAAGAAGCCUGAUGCCAAAGCCAUUGAAAUCUCUGGUUAAUAUCGUUUCUGUAUUCUCUACUGCAAUUCACAUUAUGUAUUUCUUUGUUUGAUUUUGGAGUGUUAAUUGUCAUCAAUGUAAACUCAAGCUUUUUUUGUCAAUAAUUGUCCAAAUUCAGGUUUAAAUAUUAAUGAAUUGAUUCAUGUAGCAAAGUGAUUGAACAGUUCAGAGGCAGCCCCGCCUCCCAAAGCUUGGAAGGAUUUAGUCCAUGGCCCAAGCUAGCAAUAGCAUCAUUCGUGAAAUUAGCCUCACGGAAUACAUGACUGACAGACCAAGAAUCACAAAAGGAGCUGAUAAGCACUAUAUCUUUAAUCAAGAGGUUGAUACUCCACAGGGUCAAAGCUUUCUGAUUAACGCAGUUAAUAAUAUGUUUAGAAUCUCCUCCAACAAGAACUUUGCGCCAUCCUCUCUGAGUCCCAUAAGCAAGGCCAUCCCGUAAGGCAAUGCAUUCCGCCACAGAAAUGGUAUUGUCACCAAUGUUCUAAGCACUAGCCAGUGAAAUAUGACCAUCAGAAUCUCGGAUAACAAAGCUAGUAGCCCCUGAACCAUUCCAAACAGAACAAUCAAAAUUCAAUUUGACCCAUUCGCUUGGGGGAUUCCCAUUUAAUAUGAAGAGGUGUUUUAGGUCCCUCCACCUUCUUGCAAUUUUGGUGCUAAUAGUCUAAACUAACCUGCCCAACCAUAGUAAGCACACAAACAGGAUGUGGGUUGAUGUCUUUGAAAAUCAGGUUAUUCCUAGUUUCCCAGAUCUACCAACAUAGCAGCAGAGCUUUGGAAAGAAUGUCAGGGCCUCUAGAAGUAGUAGUAGAAGGUAGCGUACCCAACCAGGUGAGAAAGUCAAAAUUUGGAGAAGAAAUCGCAGGGGCCAGGUUGGUACAACUCCAAACACUUCGAGCAAAGGGACAAGUUGAGAAGGGGUGAGUAAUGAUUUCCCUGCGAGCAUUGCAGAGGGGCCACUCAGGGUUAAUCUGGGGUAGGAAGCUGUGUUAAAUUGUUUCGGACUUGAAGCCUUUUCCUGAUAAGUAACCAUGAGAAAAUUUUGACUUCAGGGGGAAUAGGGAGACCCCACAUUUUCUUUAAAAGAGCUACUUGAGGGUGAUAAGUAGGGGUGGACACGGUCUAGAUUGGAUCGGUUUUACUUCAUUACUAUAAUCGAACCAAUUACAAUAUGAAGGUUUGGUUUAGUUCGGUUUGAAUAAAAGUUAUAAAGAAAACUGAACCAAACCAAACCAAUUUAAGACGGUUUGGUUCGACCGGUUUGGGCCUAAGCCCAAUUCUCUUUCUUUUUGCAUUUUUUCAACAUUGUUUGCCCACUUUUAAUCAACAAAUUAACAACUUGCUUCAUACAUAAUUCAUUUUUAGAGUAUGAAACCAUCCUAAAGCUCAAAAUUUAUGAAACUUCAUAUUUCACUAACUAAUAUAGCUCAAUUCAAAUUUUCAUAUAUAGUAAUUAACUAAUUAGAGUAUUACACAUAUAAAAUAAAAUAUAAAUAAAUAAAUAUACACAUAAACGGUCUAGUUUGGUUUAGGCCGGUUUAUAAAAGCUCAAAACCAAACCAAACCAUAUACAGUCCGGUUUGAUUUUUAAACCGUUUGACUUUUUCUUGGUCAAAAUCAAACCAAACCGAUAGUUAUAUUUUGAUUCGGCUGGUUUCGUCGGUUCAGCCGGAUUGAUCCCCACCCCUACUGAUAAGAAGCAUCUUGCAUUUGCACAUUAUAUUAUGUUAUGUUCCUUCAGUAUGAAUCGCAUUAGUUUUUAAUUUUCUUUGAAGGGUAAAAAGUGAAUUUCAAAAUUUACAAAAAUGCUGCUCGGUAGGUUGAGUGAAUUUUGAAGUCCAGUGGUCCAUCAGUCAUCUAACUGUGUUAUGAGCCCACAAAGAAGCCCCGCCCACAGAUUCUAGGCAAUCCUAGAAGUUUCCAGAGAAAAUCACAGAAGCGUUUACAAGGCCCAGUCUUCACUAGAAUAUUCUUGGCUUCUUUUUAAAUACCUAACCAAUCCUCUACUUUCCCAAACCAAUCAAGCAAAGCAGCAAUUCUCUUUAACGAUUCAAAUUCUCAAACUUUCUUAGCAUCCAAACAAAACCCAUCAAUUUUUCCAAUGUCGAUCAUUCCCAGCUUCCGACGAGGCAGCAUUUUCGACCCUUUCUCUCUCGAUGUCUGGGACCCAUUCAAGGAUUUUCCAUUCCCUUCCUCUUCAUCACUCUCCACAUUCCCUGAAUUUUCCCGGGAAAAUUCAGCUUUCCUGAACACGAGGAUCGACUGGAAGGAGACCCCGGAAGCCCACUUGUUCAAGGCAGACCUUCCGGGGCUGAAGAAAGAAGAGGUGAAGGUGGAGGUUGAAGACGACAGGGUGCUUCAGAUCAGCGGAGAGAGGAACGUAGAGAAGGAGGACAAGAACGACAAGUGGCACAGAGUGGAGCGCAGCAGCGGCAAGUUCUUGAGGAGGUUUCAGCUUCCUGAAAAUGCAAAGUUGAACGAGAUUAAGGCUGCAAUGGAGAAUGGGGUUCUGAGUGUCACUGUUCCAAAGGCGGAGGUGAAGAAGCCUGAUGUCAAAGCCAUUGAAAUCUCUGGUUAAUUAAAAUUGAGGAAUCUAAGAUCAUCUGGGUUCUGUAGUGCAUCCACAGAGUAUGUAGUAGAAAUAAAGAGUGCCUAAAUCAAAGUGAU